rnacentral:lncRNA from 1 species
GCGAAAUGUUGUAAAGCUUGGAAAAUAUAGCUUUGCAAAGUUUGCAUAUUUUCAGUACAUUUGUAUUACGUGCGGAAAUUGUUACCAUUUUUGAGCCGAAAAUGGUAACAAUUUCCGCUCGUAAUACAAAUAUACUGAAAAUAUGCAAACUUUACAAAGCUAUAUUUUCCAAGCUUUACAACAUUUCGCAACCAAAUUUUGCACUUUUACUAAUUUUAGUAUGUUCUUUUCAG